rnacentral:rRNA from 1 species
UAGUGGCAGACGGGUGAGUAAUGUAUAGGAAUCUACCUAGUAGUACGGAAUAAUUGUUGGAAACGGCAACUAAUACCGUAUACGCCCUACGGGGGAAAAAUUUAUUGCUAUUAGAUGAGCCUAUAUUAGAUUAGCUAGUUGGUGGAGUAAUAGCCUACCAAGGCAAUGAUCUAUAGCUGAUCUGAGAGGAUGAUCAGCCACACUGGAACUGAGAUACGGUCCAGACUCCUACGGGAGGCAGCAGUGGGGAAUAUUGGACAAUGGGCGAAAGCCUGAUCCAGCUAUGCCGCAUGAGUGAAGAAGGCCUUUGGGUUGUAAAGCCCUUUUAGUGAAGAAGAUAAUGACGGUACUCACAGAAGAAGUCCUGGCUAACUCCGUGCCAGCAGCCGCGGUAAUACGGAGAGGGCUAGCGUUAUUCGGAAUUAUUGGGCGUAAAGGGCGCGUAGGCUGAUUAAUAAGUUAAAAGUGAAAUCCCGAGGCUUAACCUUGGAAUUGCUUUUAAAACUAUUAAUCUAGAGAUUGAAAGAGGAUAGAGGAAUUCCUGAUGUAGAGGUAAAAUUCGUAAAUAUUAGGAGGAACACCAGUGGCGAAGGCGUCUAUCUGGUUCAAAUCUGACGCUGAGGCGCGAAGGCGUGGGGAGCAAACAGGAUUAGAUACCCUGGUAGUCCACGCUAUAAACGAUGAAUGUUAAAUAUGGGAAGUUUACUUUCUGUAUUACAGCUAACGCGUUAAACAUUCCGCCUGGGGACUACGGUCGCAAGAUUAAAACUCAAAGGAAUUGACGGGGACCCGCACAAGCGGUGGAGCAUGUGGUUUAAUUCGAUGCAACGCGAAAAACCUUACCACUUCUUG